AAUAAGCGUUUACCAGGUGGAUUUAUAAUCACACUUGCCACUCGUUUCUUGUGAUGAGAUAUUUCACAUAUGAAUAUAGAUGUUGAUAUUAUUGGGGUUUCAAUGGAUAUGGAUACGUCUCUAAUUGGCACUUUGUUCUGGUUAUCCUGGCCUUUCCAGAAAAAUCUGCUUAUUACCGUUCACCCGAAUUUGGAAAAAAUACAAACGGGUUCUCGCCAUUCCAGACGGAGUAAGCACACAUUGCUUCGUUGUCAACACAUGUAUCAGAAAUUGCAGUCACAAGACUAUCCAUAAUUUAAGAAGGCAACAUAUUGGUCCCUUUAAAACAUACAAUGACUUUUAAAACCUUUAAACGUCCUGGUUGUGUUAACACCACUAUAAGACGCAGGACGUGCAUGUAUAACUGUGAUACUCUGAUAUAUAAAUCACAAUAAUGUUUACUUCGGAUAUAUACAUGUACAUUUGAGUCAAAGUUUUCAUUAAUUAAUCAAUAAGAUUGGGUAACAAGGAUCGUCCAUUUUACCAAGGAAUAUUUUAAUGUGGCAACUGUUUUUAGUGAUCACCCUUUUGCUGCUUCCAAAGGGACUAGACUCGUGGAUAAGCGAUGCAUGUAAAGAUGGAAAAUAUACUACACACAGUCUUACUUGUGAUACAGGAGAACAUAUACAGCAGAUAGACUGGGCGUAUCAUGGAUAUACACAGAAUAGAGAGACCUGUAAACCUUUUUGUUCAAAAGGUUUAAAUCCUCCAUUAUGCGUGUUUCAGUUUAGCAAAGAUUACUACGAUGAGUUGAAAAAGAAAUGUAUCAACCAUCAAAGAUGCAAUAUUACCACGCGUGUUCUGUCAGAUGGUACAUACUGCUCACUGGAAGGGGGGGAUUACGAUUACGACUACCACUAUUACUGCUUUUCGAGUAUUUAUUACAGUUGUGCACAGGCACCUGAACAAGAAACAGAAAUACAAGAAACCGAAUAUACAGGGUUCACACCAGAGGUCACCAUGC